GACGAACCGUGCGAACGUUGUUCGGAAUCACUGGGCUUAAAGGGCGCGUAGGCGGGCGGUCAAGUCCGUGGUGAAAUCUUCCGGCUCAACCGGAAAACAGCCUCGGAUACUGGCGGCCUGGAGGGAGGUAGGGGCACGCGGAACUUCCGGUGGAGCGGUGAAAUGUGUUGAUAUCGGAAGGAACGCCGGUGGCGAAAGCGGCGUGCUGGACCUUUUCUGACGCUGAGGCGCGAAAGCCAGGGGAGCGAACGGG
rnacentral:rRNA from 1 species